rnacentral:misc_RNA from 1 species
GAAAUGCGAUAAGUAGUGUGAAUUGCAGAAUUCAGUGAAUCAUCGAAUCUUUGAACGCACAUUACGCCCCUUGGUAUUCCAUGGGGCAUGCCUGUUCUAGCGUCAUUUGUACCCUCAAGCUUUGCAUGGCGUUGGGCGUCUUGUCCUCUUCUGGAGGACUCGCCUCAACACAAUUGGCAGCCGGCAUAUUGGUAUCGGAGCGCAGCACAAGUCGCACUUUGUUCCAUGAUUGUUGGCAUCCAUCAUGACCAUUCUUUCACUCUUGACCUCGGAUCAGGUAGGGAUACCCGCUGAACUUAA